GAUGAACGCUGGCGGCGUGCCUAACACAUGCAAGUCGAACGGAAAGGCUCCUGUUUGUCCGGGCAUCCGAGUCGCGAAGGGGAGAGUAACCCGUGGGUCAUCCGGCCUGUACUGCGGGACAACCCUGGGCAACUGCGACUAAUACCUGCUACGAGGAUGGGAAGGAUGCCGUUGUUGGAAGCUCGUCCGUUUAGGUUAGCCUCGCGGCCUAUCACCUGUUUGGUGGGGUAAUGGCUUACCAAGGCGCCGUCGGGUAGCCGUCUUGGGAGGGGGUACGGCCACAAUGGGACUGAGAUACGGAGCAGACGCCUACGGGAGGCAGCGGUGGGAAGUAUUACACAGUGGGCGCGAGCCUGUUGCAGCGGCGCCGGGUGGGGGAUGACGGCCUUCGGGUUGUGAACUGCUUUCGCUAGAGACGAAGCGCAAGUGACGGUACCUGGAGAAGAAGCACCGGCUAACUACGUG
rnacentral:rRNA from 1 species